rnacentral:rRNA from 1 species
CCUACGGGGUGCACCAGUGGGGAAUAUUGGACAAUGGGCGAAAGCCUGAUCCAGCAAUACCGCGUGUGUGAAGAAGGCCUUCGGGUUGUAAAGCACUUUUAUGUAGGAAGAAGGUAUGUAUGUUAAUAGCAUAUGUAAUUGACGGUACUACAGGAAUAAGCACCGGCUAACUCCGUGCCAGCAGCCGCGGUAAUACGGAGGGUGCGAGCGUUAAUCGGAAUUACUGGGCGUAAAGGGUACGUAGGCGGCUUGAUAAGUCAGAUGUGAAAUCCCCGGGCUUAACCUGGGAACUGCAUUUGAAACUGUCUGGCUAGAGUGAGUGAGAGGUUAGUGGAAUUCAAGGCGUAGCGGUGAAAUGCGUAGAGGUCUUGAGGAACAUCAGUGGCGAAGGCGACUAACUGGCACUACACUGACGCUGAGGUACGAAAGCGUGGGGAGCGAACAGGAUUAGAUACCCUCGUAGUC